rnacentral:rRNA from 1 species
GGGCACUCUAGCGAGACUGCGGUAAUAACCGGAGGAAGUGGGGAUGACGUCAAAUCAUCAUGCCCCUUAUGACCUGGGCUACAACACGUGCUAACAAUGGUUGGUAACAACGAGUUGCGAGUCGGUGACGGCGAGCUAAUCUCUUAAAGCCAAUCUCAGUUCGGAUUGUAGGCUGCAACUCGCCUACAUGAAGUCGGAAUCGCUAGUAAUCGCGGAUCAGCACGCCGCGGUGAAUACGUUCCCGGGCCUU